rnacentral:rRNA from 1 species
UUCCGGUUGAUCCUGCCGGACCCCACUGCUAUCGGGAUAGGACUAAGACAUGCUAGUCGUGUGCCUCAGCCAAAACGAGGCACGGCGCACAGCUCAGUAACACGUGGCUAACCUGCCCUUAGGACGAGAAUAACCCCGGGAAACUGGGGCUAAUGCUCGAUAGGUGAAGAACUCUGGAAUGAGUCUUCACUUAAAAGAGUCUGCGUUAUGCUCGUAGAUUUCGCUUAAGGAUGGGGCCGCGACCGAUCAGGUUGUUGGUGAGGUAAUGGCUCACCAAGCCUUUUACCGGUGCGGGCCGUGAGAGCGGGAGCCCGGAGAUGGGCACUGAGACAAGGGCCCAGGCCCUACGGGGCGCAGCAGUCGCGAAAACUUUGCAAUACACGAAAGUGUGACAGGGCUAUCCCGAGUGCCAUCCGCUGAGGAAGGCUUUUACCCAGUCUAGAACGCUGGGGGAAUAAGGAGAGGGCAAGUCUGGUGUCAGCCGCCGCGGUAAUACCAGCUCUCCGAGUGGUGUGGAUGUUUAUUGGGCCUAAAGCAUCCGUAGCUGGCUAAGUUAGUCCCCUGUUAAAUCCAACGAAUUAAUCGUUGGAUCGCGGGGGAUACUGCUUGGCUAGGGGACGAGAGAGGCAGACGGUAUUUCCGGGGUAGGGGUGAAAUCCUAUAAUCCCGGGAAGACCACCAGUGGCGAAGGCUGUCUGCUAGAACGCGCCCGACGGUGAGGGAUGAAAGCUGGGGGAGCGAACCGGAUUAGAUACCCGGGUAGUCCCAGCUGUAAACGAUGCAGCUAGGUGUUUGGACGGCCACGUGCCGUUCUAGUGCCGCAGGGAAGCUGUUAAGCCUGCCGCCUGGGGAGUACGAUCGCAAGAUUGAAACUUAAAGGAAUUGGCGGGGGAGCACACA